rnacentral:lncRNA from 1 species
GGCACUCCCUAAACUCUCAGUCAGCUGGUCACUGACCCAACUGAGCCUUCUACUGACACUGGUUUUAUAAGGAAUGGAAGGACUAAUGAUUGUACGAGCUGAAAUGUUGAGUAUUUUCACAUUUCUUAUUCAUUCUUUGUUCUCAGUGUAUGCAAAUGUUAAAUGAAAUGAUCACAUUACAUAAUUGGGUGAUAAUCAAAUGGCAAUAAAAUGGUAUGUUUGACAGAGCCCAAUAUUUUAAAAUAGGGCUAUGUGCCAAGAAAUGUCAAGAUAGGCUGGGUAAGGUGUCUCAGGCCAGUGAUCCCAGCACUUUGGGAGGCCAAGGUAGGAGGAUCGCUUGAGCCCAGGAAUUCAGACCAGCCUGAGCAACAAAGCAAGACCCCGUCUCUACUAAAAAUUAAAAAAUUAGCCAGGUGUAGUAGUGCACACCUAUAUUCCCAGCUUCUUGGGAAGCUGAGGCGGGAGGAUCACUUGAAUUCAGGAGGUUGAGGCUGCAGCGAGCUACGAUCGCACCAGUGCACUCCAGCCUGGGUAACAGAGUGAGGCCCUGUCUCUAUAAAAAAAGAAAAAAAAAAGAGAUACCCCAGAAUCUUCCAAAUAUUGUUACCCUUAUGGUUUGGAAGAGGGGAGUGAGUAAAUGGAUUGGCCUUAGGGACGGCACCUUGCUGGUAGACUGUGCCCACCUCAGGUAGACGGGAAGGGCUAGCAGUCUCAUGUGUAGUUUGUCUCCAACUUGCCAGUGACUUGGUGAAGUCGUGCCUGAAUCUCACCCUCCUCUUUUCUUGUUCAUCUAGCGAAGGUGAUUUCCUUUGUUCCUCCCCCGUGGCAUCCUCCCUGAUGGCGGAAUGGAGUGGUGGUAGUGCCCAGGGGCUACAUGGGUGAAGUGUGGUGUGUUCUUGAUUUAGUUGGCAUUGGACUAAGACACACACGCAUACAAGUGUCUAUUUAGGGAAGUUGUUCUUUAGUCUGUUUCCUUGGAAAUACUGCCUUUUUAUUCUUUCACUUUCUCUUCCCUCUGCAAUGAUUCAGCAGUAGCUUUCUAGAGAAGAAGAAACUACAUAGUGUCAGAGACCCUGGAAUACCAAGGAUAUGUCAGUGGAGAGGGAAGCUGCCUGUGUGUCACGCAGGCCACAUUCUUCCUGGUCCAGCUAGAGCGUCCCGUGCCUUUCCUUGGUUUUUCCAGCCUCUCUCCAUCACUCCUUCUGAGGCCCUUUGCAGACAGUCCCCCAGUGCAACUACAGCAUUUUUGUAAGACCAGCCCUUGUCGUUUUCCCCUUGACUGAUGGAGACCACUUGACUCUAGCAUGCUGUAUGCACACUUAUCUUCUGUUUCAGAUCUGAACUGUCUUUCUGGCAACUUUCUUUCCUCUUAGCCAUUCCUGACUUGUUUCAAAAAGGAUACAUGGACUUGAAAUUACCAGUUAAAGCAGAAAAUGAUUAAAAAGAAAAAAAGGGCUUCAAAUGUCAAAUGGAUACAACUGUAUAAGUUGUAGAAGAAGCUCUGAACACGUUACAGGGAGGUUGCCAUUGCUAAAAGCUUUUACAUUAUUUAUUUAUUUAUUUUUAGAGACAGAGUCUUGCUGUGUUGCCCAGGUUGGAUGAGCUGUGAUUGUACCGCUGCACAACGUCUUGGUGACAGGGGCUUGCCCCUGCCUCGGAAAAAAAAAAAAAA